CUAGUAAUUGGUUCCCUCUCUUUAAUCUCUUUGUUAAAUGUGUCUCUUCUAGAAUCCAACAAUUCCACGUACAAAUGAUGAUGGUUCGGCCAAGAUUCCAGCCCAUCCCACUGGAGGAUCCCGUGGACCUGGCCACCAAGAAGUUUCACUCAAAUCACCUAUCAGCACAUUAAUGUAAUUCCAUGCAUUUGGUCUAACCCCCCCAUGGACCAACAAAUUUAGGUGAAUCCUUUCCUGCCCUGCCACCUGCCUCCACCCCAUCCGGUCGCCCCACCCAGGGCAGAGCUGGAAUAUGUCUCCAAGGAGGCGGACUUGAGUGCUUCUGUGCCAGGGCGACGGUGGACUGUGGACAGCACGGUCUGAACCUGAAAGGAAGCAGGAGGGUGUGGCGCUCAGGGUGGUUGGGAAUAGGGGACAGGCAGCACUUCCCCAGGGGACCCCUCCUUCCCCCGUCUGGAGCUGGUGUGUCCUUGAGUCCUUAUUUCUUGAGACUAUCAUAUGGUGAUGGUAAGGCAGAGAGCAGGACAAGGAGGAACGAUCUAAACGCCCCUCCUCUCUGUCCUGCCUCCCCAGGUAAUUCUUCUGAAAACUUCCCAUUGGAGUACCGGGUGGAGCCUGGGCAGCUGUGACAGGGCAGCUCCAGGUGGAAAGGACUUCCAGAUCCUUUGAGCCAACCCUUCUGUUUUGUAGAGGGCAUUCAUCCUGUGGUCUAGAAAAGGAGGGAAAACAUAGUCUGUAUGUGAAGGGGAUGAGCAGAGUUACAGAAAUGGAUGAGGGGUAUAAAACGUGAAAAGAGUUUGUGGAAUUCCAAGAACAUCUCUAUGGGGAUUCACUAAGUUUGUGGGGCCUGAGUGUGGAAUAGUGGGAUUGGGGGAGGGUACAGCUGAGGCUUUCCAGCUCACAACCCUCUCCUCCGCUCACUGCCUUCACCUCCUGAUGAAUCAGUGCCUUACCCUGUACUUGCAGCUGAACCCAAAUUACACGAGGCAGGGUCUCCCUCUCCGCCUGGGGAACCGUGCCCGAGAACCCGAGAUCCGGCAGCCACCGGUAAAGGCAUGACAGCGAAGCUGGAAUCUCACAAAGCUGAGGGGUCUCCUUGGGAAGAGGCAGGACAGAGAUAGCAGGUAUCAACUGUAGGCCAGGGGGUGCCUGGGUGGUUCAGUCAGUCAAGCGUGGGACUCUGGAUUUUGGCUCAGGUCAUGUGCCAUAGGGCUCCGU
rnacentral:lncRNA from 1 species